AGAGUUUGAUCCUGGCUCAGGACGAACGCUGACGGCGUGCCUAAUACAUGCAAGUCAACGAGAAAGUCGGCUUCGGCUGGCGAGUAAAGUGGCGAAUGGGUGAGUAACGCGUAGGUAACCUGCCUUCAGGAUUGGAAUAACUCUGCUAACGCGGGGCUAAUACCGAAUAAAGCAGCAUCACCACAUGGAGAUGUUGUUAAAGAAGGGGCUUCAAAUGAACCUUUCACCUGAAGAUGGGCCUGCGUUCCAUUAGUUAGUUGGUGAGGUAACAGCUCACCAAGACAGCGAUGGAUAGCCGACCUGAGAGGGUGAUCGGCCACACUGGGACUGAGAUACGGCCCAGACUCCUACGGGAGGCAGCAGUAGGGAAUAUUGCGCAAUGGCCUAAAGGCUGACGCAGCAACGCCGUGUGACCGAUGAAGCUCCAAGGAGUGUAAAGGUCUGUUAGGAGGGAAGAAAAGUCCAGACGUUAAUAACUUCUGAACCUGACGGUACCUCCAGAGAAAGCUCCGGCCAACUCCGUGCCAGCAGCCGCGGUAAUACGGGGGGAGCAAGCGUUGUCCGGAAUUACUGGGCGUAAAGGGCGUGUAGGCGGGCUUGUAAGUCAGGAGUGAAAUUUGUCGGCUUAACCGGCAAUCUGCUUCUGAUACUGCAGGUCUUGAGUAAGACAGAGGAAAGUGGAAUUCCUGGUGUAGCGGUGAAAUGUGUAGAUAUCAGGAAGAACACCGGUAGCGAAGGCGGCUUUCUGGGUCUUUACUGACGCUGAGGCGCGAAAGCGUGGGUAGCAAACAGGAUUAGAUACCCUGGUAGUCCACGCCUUAAACGAUGAGCACUAGGUGUUGAAGGUUCGACCCCUUCAGUGCCGCAGCUAACGCAUUAAGUGCUCCGCCUGGGGAGUACGAUCGCAAGGUUGAAACUCAAAGGAAUUGACGGGGGCCCGCACAAGCGGUGGAGCAUGUGGUUUAAUUCGAUGCUACGCGAAGAACCUUACCGGGGUUUGAAAAGCAGCUGAAACUCCGAGAAAUCGGAGCCCCUUCGGGCAGCUGUACAGGUGCUGCAUGGUUGUCGUCAGCUCGUGUCGUGAGAUGUUGGGUUAAGUCCCGCAACGAGCGCAACCCCUGUCCUUAGUUGC
rnacentral:rRNA from 1 species